GACGAACGCUGGCGGCGUGCCUAAUACAUGCCAGUUGAGCGCUGAAGGUUGGUACUUGUACCGACUGGAUGAGCAGCGAACGGGUGAGUAACGCGUGGGGAAUCUGCCUUUGAGCGGGGGACAACAUUUGGAAACGAAUGCUAAUACCGCAUAAAAACUUUAAACACAAGUUUUAAGUUUGAAAGAUGCAAUUGCAUCACUCAAAGAUGAUCCCGCGUUGUAUUAGCUAGUUGGUGAGGUAAAGGCUCACCAAGGCGAUGAUACAUAGCCGACCUGAGAGGGUGAUCGGCCACAUUGGGACUGAGACACGGCCCAAACUCCUACGGGAGGCAGCAGUAGGGAAUCUUCGGCAAUGGACGAAAGUCUGACCGAGCAACGCCGCGUGAGUGAAGAAGGUUUUCGGAUCGUAAAACUCUGUGGGUAGAGAAGAACGUUGGUGAGAGUGGAAAGCUCAUCAAGUGACGGUAACUACCCAGAAAGGGACGGCUAACUACGUG
rnacentral:rRNA from 1 species